rnacentral:rRNA from 1 species
UACGUAGGGCGCAAGCGUUGUCCGGAAUUAUUGGGCGUAAAGAGCUCGUAGGCGGCCAGUUGCGUCCGCUGUGAAAUCCCGGGGCUUAACCCCGGGCGUGCAGUGGAUACGGGCUGGCUGGAGGCAGGCAGGGGAGAACGGAAUUCCUGGUGUAGCGGUGAAAUGCGCAGAUAUCAGGAGGAACACCGGUGGCGAAGGCGGUUCUCUGGGCCUGUACUGACGCUGGAGGAGCGAAAGCGUGGGGAGCGAACAGG